UCAUAUUAUUAGUUCUACCGCCGUGAAGAAACUAUCUAGUGGACUAUAUUGAGUAUCUUGCCUAAGCAAAGUGAGCUAUAAAUUGCUGUUUUCACGUGGGAACAUGGUUGGUAAAGAUCAUCAUGUGCCUGCAAUUUCCAAAUCAGAGUUCACUGUUAUUUGUGACUUCCCAUCAGAAAUAACAUUGAUAGCAAAUGAAAAUGAAAACCGACUUGAUAUAUUGGAACCUGCUAGGAAAGCUGACCGUGGUCUAGAUAGAUUGCAAGCAUCACCCAUUGUAAUCUCCAACGGAAGAAAUAUACGUCUAGCUGCUGCGAGUAUACAUGUAAAUGGAAGAUUUUUUGCA